GGCUGGUCUGAGUGCAGUGGUGUUUAUAACUAAUUGAUCACAACCAGUUACAGAUUCCUUUGUUCCUUCCUCACUCCCACUGCUUCACCUGACUAGCCUCAA
rnacentral:Y_RNA from 1 species